rnacentral:tRNA from 1 species
GCUGGUGUGGCUCAACGGUAGAGCAGCUGACUUGUAAUCAGCAGGUUGUGAGGGUUCGAUCCCCUUCACCCGCUCCA